CCAUCUACUUUCUUUUCUUCUUCCUUUGCUAGGGCACAACAACAACAUUGCAGCAUCCCAAAUUCCGUGAUCCUUCCUCUUCUCCUUCUAAACCUCUCCCCUUUGCCGAUUCAAGCUCUCCCUUGCCGGUUUUCCUCUCCAAAAAUCGUCAGCAACAAUGGAGGAACGGAUGUUUUGGUUGGUUUCGUUACUCUUUUCUCUCUCUUUUUAGUUUUUUUGUGAGGAGAGGAGAAGACAACACUCUUUUCUCUCUUUCUCUCUCGUUCCCUCUCUAGAAAACCCACUUACACAAUCCUCCAUCAAUUCUAUAUACAUAAACUUUUCGUUUUCUUUCUCUGUUUUUCCCCUUUUUGUUUUUGUGUUUUUUCGAAGGAAAUUGGAUGGUGGGUUUUUGAUUUGAUCCAAAUUGCUACUCUCCAAUUUCUCUUUUGUGUUGGAAAUGGGGAUUGGGUAGUGGGUUUUGAUGGGAUGAGUUCUUCGCGGACGAUGGGACGGUGAGUUUAGAACUAUGUUCCUCUGUAGAUUGCACCAUCCUUGCACGAAGGUUCUUUUGCUAAUUUCGGUAUUGUUUAUUUGUUUCCCUUCCGUAGAUUGCAAUUUCUUAUUUAUUUUUAUUUUUUAUGUGAGCUUUUGUGUUGUGUGUUCGAGCAUUUCGAUGUCCAAAUGCUCUCUCUAAUUGUUUUUAUGUAAAUUCUAAAGUUGCUCAUGUCUUCUCUUGAAUUUCUAUUUCAAAAUGUGUUGUUUGGUUAUAUUUUGCUAAUUUUUUGUUCAUGUUAGUUGUGUUUCUAAUUAUUCUAAGGAAUAUAUGAUUUUAAUUUGAAUGUUCUCAUUGCUGUAUUAUCGCUUAGUCUGACGUUUUUGGCUUAAAAUGUAGAAGAUGUUAUAACUUUUAAUUUCAGCCACCGAGUGAUAAAGUACAUGUAAAUUAAGCUAAUUUUCCAUUCUUCUAGUGUUUUCUAUAUUGGUUUACAAACAGGAGGAAAUCAGGAACCAACUUGGAAGGAUCAAUGGAUUAAAGCACUACCCCGCUUGAGGAUAUUUCAUCUCUCGAUCUCAAAACGUAUCCUUAAUCUUUUUCUUUUUCUUUUUCUGGAAAAUUGCAGUGUGCGUUGUUUGAUAUUUUCAUGUAUGGCUUAAAGGCUGGUUGCAUUCUCAGUUUGAGAUUUCUAGGCAUUCUUAGUUGGACUUGUUUGUUCAACAUGUUUGAGAUUUCUAUUGGCAUAUUUUGUUGGACUUGUUUAGACGGCUGAGAUUUCUGGGCACAUUUAGUUGCACUUGUUUAUUCGAUUCUUUGUUUUUCUCAACCAUUCACAAAAGGUUAAUCUGACAAAAUAUGGGUAUUUCUACUUCUAGGGGAUUAAAUCGUUUAGGAUGAAGUACAGCUGAUUCUGUUUUGUCGGGUGAUAUUGAAUGAUGAUUGAAUAAGCUGCUUAAUAUAUUUCUUAAACUAGUGGCUUUGCAGAAGUUUAUAUGGGAAUACUCUUAAGGUACAUUUGGUUUGAAAUUAUUUCUCAGAACAUUGUUUUGAAAAUUAACCCAGGCCUUCCGUGUGGUCUUCUUGCAAACAACAAAAAUUUCCCAAAUAUAAGGGAUGCUCAUCAUUCUUCCUAAAUAUAUAUUUUUCUCUAAUUUUAGGUUCAUGCCAUAUUGAAGGAUCUGGUUCACAAAGCGAUAGGUGAAACUCUAGUAUGCUCUUGAACCUUGCAUAUGAUACACUUAAAUUAAAACCAUGCUCCAUAUUUUUUUUAAGUUUGAAAUAGCUCACUGCAAUUCUUGAGGUGGUCUACAACUUAAAACAGUUCUGUAUAGAAUUUGAUUCAUUUACUUAAUUUGUCUUCAAAUAUCCAUUAAUGAGAGGUGCUUUCUCUUUUCAUCCUUGUUUGCUCAUGGAAGAAACAGUCAAUCGAUGUUUAAUUAACUUUUUAUAAUAACAUCGAUUAGUUUGGUUAGAUUGACUUCGGAGUUAUAGUUGUUCAAAUAUGUUUUGAGUUAUAGUUUGGUUAGAUUGACUUCGGAGUUAUAGUUAGUUCCGGCUAUUAGAAACAUAGUCAGCGUCUCAUCAUUUUUCUUUGAGGGAUAGGAUAGCUUUUUCUCUGAUUUCUCUUUAUUUUAUAAAUUCACUAAUACUAAGACGAUCAUGUUUUUUUCUGAUAUGAAAGAUUGUAAUGGUAACGGUGCUUAUAAGAGAUGAUCAAUAUGUAUAUGAUUCUAUCUUCUUUCAGCUUGACUUUGCGAGAAUGAAUUUGAAUUUAUGGAAUAGUUAUGCUCAUUUGAGCUUCUCUCUAAGAAUAUCAGUGUUAAAUUAUUGUAUGUUAUAAUGAUUACGACGUAUAACAUUGCCCUAAAUUUAUCUUAUUGGGUUUUAGCAUUUUAGUUGAAUUUAAUUAGGUUUUUGGAUUCAUGGGUUUGGAUAGAAUGUUUCUUGGGGUAAUGGGACAUUCGGAUCUUUGAGUAGAUUUGGGUUGCUAUUAUUUGGAAGUUGAUUAAUAAUGUUUUAAGAUUAGGAAAUGAAAUAUUAAACCGAGCACUAAUUGUGGUAAAGAACAUGGAACUGAACUCGAUGGUGAUCCAAUCUGAAGGAGAAAAGUCAACUAGUGUUUGUAUUUAUCUUGGUUGAAAAUUCUUCUUGUUUCGGAUGCGAAUGCUCAACUUGAAAUCUGAUUUGCAGGGUGAACUGGGGAGUUGGAGUUUCAAUUGAUUUAAUUUUGCUUCCAUGUGGUGGAAUGUUAUGGAUCAAAUAUUUUUUUGUUUGCUUCAUUUGCUUUCUUCAUUUGCUUCUCAUUUUUUUCAUUUUCCGAUCUUGGUUUAUUAUUUUUGGAUUUUAUUAAGUGGGGUUUCACUUGUUUCUUGGUUGCUUUCUUCAAAUUACCUUGAUAAAUUCACUGCAUCUCUAUUAUCAUCGGCUUGUUCUUCAUUGACAUUUUACAGGAAAUGAGAUUACUGAAAUAAAACGGGUUUGCUUCAACUAGCAGAGUCUUUAAACUUUCUUCAUAGCAAUGCAUGUUUCAUUCACUGUGCUAUAUCUCCGGAGGUUUUUCCAGAAUCCAUUGGAGUAGCGAAACAAUAUUUGCGGCAAUUCAUUGAUGUAUAGGCAUUAUUGUAGGUUUGGUAGGAAAAUUUCUGGUUUAAAUGUAGUUAUUUAAAUAGCUUAUUUGUAACAAACCAUAUCUGUACCAACACUUAAAGCGAUAUUAUAAAAUGUAUGUUUCUUUAUAUUAAAGCGUUCACCGUUUCUUUUAAUA